CUCCAGCUCGAGGUGUUGCACUGGUGCUGCUCACGGUGGGCUGUGCGUUCGCCGUGGCCGCGGACGAGGGCGCAUGCGACGUUCUACGGCGGCGCUGAUGCCUCCGGCACGAUGGGAGGCGCGUGCGGGUACGGCAACCUCUACUCGACGGGGUACGGGACGCACACGGCGGCGCUGAGCACGGUGAUGUUCAACGACGGCGCGGCAUGUGGGCAGUGCUACAAGGUCGCGUGUGACCGCGAACUGGCAGACCCGCAGUGGUGUAAGCCUGGUGUGACGGUGACCAUAACGGCCACAAACCUCUGUCCACCCAACCACGCCCUUCCAAGCGACAACGGCGGCUGGUGCAACCAGCCACGACCGCACUUCGACAUGGCACAACCAGCUUGGGAGAAGAUCGGUGUUUACAAGGGUGGCAUCAUCCCUGUCAUGUACCAACGGGUUCCAUGCGAGAAACGGGGCGGAGUACGGUUCAAGAUCAACGGACACAACUACUUCAAUCUUGUGCCCGUGUUCAAUGUUGCAACCUCCGGCUCAAUCAAGUCGAUGGACGUCAAGACCUCAGAUUCAAACGAUUGGGCACCAAUGGCCCGCAACUGGGGCGCAAACUGGCAGUCACUAGCAAACCUCACGUGGAAGAUGCUUUCAUUCAGAUUAACCGAUACCGAGGGGCAGACCCUUGUGUUACAUAACAUCGUGUUGAGUGGAUGGAAGUUCGAUCAAACAUUUACGAGCAGUUUGCAGUUCAAGUGA
rnacentral:rRNA from 1 species